CGCGCGGCGCGCCUGCUGGCUGUUGACGACAGCGGUCGCGUGCCCGCGCACAGUCUGUCAGUGGCGGGAGAGCGCGGGCAGUGCGUGCUUCUCCUCCUCACCGGCAGCACCAUGACCGAGUGCGGCCGCCGCAGCGGCGACCACCGGAGCUCCUCCGGCUGCAAGCGCGCCCGCAAUGGGGAGAACAAAGUGACGGUGGCCCUCGGCGCGCAGUGGGGCGACGAGGGGAAGGGCAAGGUGGUCGACCUGUUGGCCACCGACGCCGACAUAGUGUGCCGCUGUCAGGGUGGAAACAAUGCAGGCCACACUGUUGUGGUGGAUGGAAAGGAAUACAAGUUUCACCUUUUCCCAAGUGGUAUUAUUAAUCAAAAAGCUAUCUCAUUUUUAGGGAAUGGUGUUGUAAUACAUCUGCCUGGAUUGUUCGAAGAAGCUGAGAAAAAUGAAAAAAAAGGCUUAAAAGAUUGGGAGAAGAGGCUGAUUAUUUCAGACAGAGCACAUCUAGUGUUUGAUUUUCAUCAAGCAGUUGAUGGCCUCCAAGAGAUCCAGCGGCAAGAGCAAGAGGGGAAAACUAUUGGCACAACAAAAAAAGGCAUAGGACCAACAUAUUCUUCCAAAGCAGCACGCACUGGUCUCCGUGUCUGUGACCUUUUGGCUGACUUCAGUGACUUCAGUGGCAGAUUUAAACUUCUGGCUCAGCAAUAUCAGUCCAUGUUCCCAAGUCUGAAAAUCGACAUUGAAGGACAGCUUAAAAAAUUAAAGGAAUACGCAGAACGUAUCAGGCCAAUGGUACGAGACGGUGUUUACUUUAUGUACGAAGCUAUUCAUGGUCCACCUAAAAAGAUUCUUGUGGAAGGUGCCAAUGCAGCGUUACUAGAUAUCGAUUUUGGAACAUAUCCGUUUGUGACAUCCUCUAAUUGCACUGCUGGAGGUGUGUGUACAGGACUGGGAAUCCCUCCAUCAUGCAUUGGAGCUGUGUAUGGGGUCUUCAAAGCCUACACCACCAGAGUUGGGAUUGGAGCAUUCCCAACUGAACAAAUAAACGAAAUUGGUGAAAUGCUUCAGUCACGAGGCAAUGAAGUGGGUGUAACGACGGGAAGGAAGAGGCGUUGUGGCUGGUUAGAUCUAGUCAUACUGAAAUAUGCUAAUAUGAUCAAUGGAUUCACUGCCUUGGCACUAAUGAAGCUGGAUAUUCUGGAGACCUUUGAUGAGAUUAAAAUCGGUUUAGCAUACAAACUGAAUGGAAAGAGAAUUCCGUAUUUUCCAGCAAACCAGGAGAUUCUGAAUCAGGUGGAGGUUGAAUAUGAAACACUUCCGGGCUGGAAGAGCAACAUCACCGCUGCACGAACAUGGGAUGAUCUUCCUCCAAAGGCUCAAAACUACAUCAGAUUCAUUGAAAACCACGUGGCAGUCCCAAUUAAAUGGAUUGGAGUUGGAAAAUCAAGGGAGUUUAUGAUCAAACUUUUCUAAGAAAAUAACAGGACAAGACUGGAUAAUUUGAACAAACAACCAUUUUAUUUGAGGAAAUAUAACUGACUGCUUUCCUAUUUCAAUUCAAAACUGUUUUAUAGUUGAACUGUUCCCAAUAUAGUGUAAAGUAUAAUUAUUUCACAAUAUCAGUUGUGUAUAUUAACAGUAAUGUAUUUUUAACUGAAGGAAGAAAUACUUGAAAUACUUUUCUUGCUGUUCAUGUUCAUAUUGAAACAAAGUAUGGCAUCGAACCGCUGAUUGCAAUUUCCUUUAAAUGUUGAAUGAAAGACAUGUAAUACUCAUGAUCAAUUACACCUGGAGUAAUAUCUUUAAAACCACUCCAUAAUUUGUGCCUUUAAUGGCGGUUUUACUAAAAAAUCAUUCAUUUGCAUCUACUUUUUAAUUUUGUGAACUAACAUGGUAUAAAAAUGCAUGAUUUGCAGUGUUGGAUGUAUCCUGUUUGUGUUGUUUGCAAUGAUAUAUACAGUAAAUCAGUCGGCUCACUCGUAUGAUAUAAAUUCUACACCACAGCUUCUUGUUUUUAUUUUAAGUAUGCCAGUAGAAUUUUUUUUUUUUAAGUAUACCAUAAUGAAAUGUUUUAAUAUAAUUAAUGAUGGCUUAAAUUACUUGGCAAUAGGUAAACAAUAUUCAAAUCAAAAUGUAAAAUAUUUGCUGAAAAAUUGCAGUCUAUGGCUUGAGUUGAACUAUUUAUUAAACAAAAAUGAGACAAACACUUUAUUUGAUAUUUGGCUUUAUCAAAAUAUCUUCGAGCUGUUGAUCUUUUUGAAAAUCAGAAAUGGUGCUUCUAUUUCCAAGUGCCCUGUAAGAUAUAUUAAGCAACAUAAGUAAUGCAUGACUUGAGAUUAUGUAACCACUCUAAUGAAUCAAGUUUCACUCAUCUGUUAGUUCUAACUUACGUCAGGGUUAAUGUUGUAUGAUGAAUCAUAUUCUGUCUUCCAUCGAUAAGUAUCAGGUUCCCCAAAUAUAUCUUUUGGGAUUCUUUUUGGUGUCUCACUUGAUUGUUGAAAAUUACUGUAAGGACUGACUUCACAAUUUAAUUCUUCAAUUCUUCUUGCAUAAUCUGCACUGUUAUUAAUUCUGCCUUUACAAAGUUCGACAGUCCCUAAAGGAGGCACAAUAGAAGU